GCUUCACCAAUUGUGUAAACUUACAUUGUCUUCUUACCCCUAAGUUUUAGCUUCUUCAACAGACAUAAUGUUCACCCGGGAGAGAAACAUGGCAGUAAAUACCAAGGAAGGAUUCUGAAAAGAAGAGGCAUGGAAAAGCCUCACUGAGUCAAAAUAGAGGUGCUCACAAGCUGUGAAUACUCAGAAGGAGGGGCACAGUGAAAGCAAUUCAACAGAAGACAUGUGUGACAAUACCAUAAGGAUUAAAAGCAAGACAAAGGAGUUUUGAGGCCUUCCAAGAAAAGACCCUACUAUCUACAUAAAGGAGCUAUUUAUCCAUGAGGGACAUAUAGAAAAUCAGCAAACAUCAGAGGCAAAUGUCAUUUUCACCAAGAGAAUAAAAACAGCCACAGCUACAAAUCAACAUCCUUAAAUCUCACCUACCAGCAAAUUGAACCCACCACAUCUCAUCUACCUGGAUACUAGCAUUAUCAGUGCUUUUGGAAAAUCUAGUAAUUUCAAUAAUAUUUCCACUACACACUUGGAAGAUCACUAUGUGGAAACAAAUCCAGAUAUAAAGAUAUUCUUUUUUAGGAUAUUCAUCAAAAUUACUUUGAAGAAGGCUUCCAUAUUUCAACUGCUCUAUGAUCUCCACUGUACUUUCCAGUCCUCAGCAAUCCCUAGGCCCAGCCAUCACAAACACCCGGAGGACAUCCCUCAUCACCAGAUACGUGUGCAGAUAUAUGAGCAUUUGUUGUACAUGAAUUGAUUUCAACGACAA